rnacentral:lncRNA from 1 species
AUCUUUUCCUCUCCUUGCCAGAACCAUGGAUUCUUCGGCGACGGCUGAUGAAGUAAACGGCGAGUCCGAUGAGUUUUUAGCUCUUUUCCCUCGAGCGGUGAGCCGGUGAGGUAACAUUCUCCACUCUUCUUUUUUUUUUUUAACAGAAUUUAUAAACCAUGAAUUUUAAAAUAGUAUACAAACUGUUUUUUUUUUUGUGUCAAAGAUCUUUGUUUGCAAAAUUUUAAAGGUUUUUAGGGGAAUUUAUUGAUUACUUUUGAUUGAGAAUGGAAAAAACUUAUGUGUAAUUUGUGAAAAAAAAAUAGAACAUGUCUCCGGUCCGUAUAAGAUAGAACAUUGUUAGAGAUGGUUAUGUUUCAUUUGUCUUGACGCUUAAGAUCACUUGGUUAGUCUUUAUCAAAUCUUGUAAUAAAUUGUUUCCCCUUGCGUAUUUUCACAUUAUAAGUUUUUGGGGAAAAUUCUAUAUUACUUUAUUGAUAAUGAGGAAAAACUUAUGUGUAAUUUGUGAAAACAAAUAGAACAGUCAUCCUGUCAAUCCCUCAUUGAUCGUUAGAGAUUGAUAUGUUUUAUUUGCGACACUUAUGAUCACUUAGUUAUUUUUCUAAUCGAUCUUGAAAUAAAAGAGUUAUCCCUCUCGUAUUUUCCACAAUGUCUCAUUUGCUUUCUUGUUUUCUAUCUUUAAAUACAUACCUUCUUACUUUUUUGUUUUUUUGUUUCUUUGAUGAUUCUUUUGCUUGUUUUUGAAUUUCUUGUUGUGUUUCUCUGCUUUGAUAAUUGGUGGAGGAGAUGAGAAGUCUGCGAGUGGGAAAGAUGCAACAGAGAGAGAUACAUGCAGCGAUCAUCUUCCACGGACAUUCCGAUAUGCCAGACAGUGUGUGAUCCGAAAAGAUGUGUACGUUGUGUGAAGAUAAGAACUUGAUGAGCAAGUCUUAGCAAUAUUCAAAUGCUAACCAAAGAAGAACUCAGGUUAAAGUAAGGUUUACUUGGGGUUGAGUUAGCAGACUUUGGACCACAAAGAGAAGGCUUACUAUUGGUGUAUAGGUCUGAGCACAAAGCAGGACCGUUUGUCUCUAUGCGUUUGGCCUUAUCACAAUUGUAAGGGAGAAGUCAC